rnacentral:rRNA from 1 species
AUGGAUAGGGGAACUGAGAGGUUUAUCCCCCACACUGGUACUGAGACACGGACCAGACUCCUACGGGAGGCAGCAGUGAGGAAUAUUGGUCAAUGGACGCAAGUCUGAACCAGCCACGUCGCGUGAAGGAAGACGGCCCUACGGGUUGUAAACUUCUUUUGUAAGGGAAUAAAGUGCAGUACGCGUACUGUUUUGCAUGUACCUUACGAAUAAGGAUCGGCUAACUCCGUGCCAGCAGCCGCGGUAAUACGGAGGAUCCAAGCGUUAUCCGGAUUUAUUGGGUUUAAAGGGUGCGCAGGCGGAAGAUUAAGUCGGCGGUGAAAUUUUGCAGCUCAACUGUAAAAGUGCCUUCGAAACUGGUUUUCUUGAGUGUGGAUGAAGUAGGCGGAAUUUGUGGUGUAGCGGUGAAAUGCAUAGAUAUCACGAGGAACUCCGAUUGCGAAGGCAGCUUACUAAGCCAUAACUGACGCUCAGGCACGAAGGCGUGGGGAUCAAACAGGAUUAGAUACCCUGGUAGUCCACGCAGUAAACGAUGAUUACUAGCUGUUUGCGAUAUACAGUAAGCGGCUGAGCGAAAGCGUUAAGUAAUCCACCUGGGGAGUACGUUCGCAAGAAUGAAACUCAAAGGAAUUGACGGGGGCCCGCACAAGCGGAGGAACAUGUGGUUUAAUUCGAUGAUACGCGAGGAACCUUACCCGGGCUUGAAAUGCAUCUGACAGGAGCAGAGACGCUCUCUCCCUUUCGGGGCAGAUGUGUAGGUGCUGCAUGGUUGUC